CGCGAAAACUCUACAAUGCACGCAAGUGUGAUAGGGCAACCCCUCGUGCUCAACUAACGUUGGGCUUUUAUUAUGUGUAAUGUGCAUAAUGAAUAAGUGGUGGGCAAGACCGGUGCCAGCAGCCGCGGUAAUACCGGCGCCACGAGUGGAGUUCACUAUUAUUGGGUCUAAAGUGUCCGUAGCUGGUUUAUUAAGUCUCUUGUGAAAUUUCUGUUGCUUAACUCAGAAACUGCAAGAGAUACUGGUAAACUCGAGACCGGAAGAGGUAACAAGUAUUGUUUGGGUAGCGGUAAAAUGCUAUAAUCCUUACAAGACUAACUAAGGCGAAGGCAUGUUACUUGGACGGAUCUGACAGUGAGGGACGAGAGCUGGGGGAGCGAACCGGAUUAUAUACCCGGGUAGUCCCAGCUGUAAACUAUGCAAACUCGGUGAUGCAUUGGCUUGAUGCCAAUGCAGUGCCGCAGGGAA
rnacentral:rRNA from 2 species